GGCUGGAGGCUGCAUCCGCCUCUCAUGGAAAACGGUUGAAAAAGGGGAGAGAAUAACUGGAUCGUCUAGAAUCAGCUCGUGUAUUAAAAGGAGCUGUUCCAGGAGCAAGCUAGGCAAGCAAGUACCAAAACCGUACUGCUGAUACAAAAGCCUUUUCUCCUCGUUAGCUGUUACAGCUCCUAGUGCUGGUAUGUCAUCUAAUGAAAAAUUAACUGAAAAAGUUGUCCUUGCAAUGCUUUUCUGAAGUGGCAUUUUGAAAAAACACUUCUAAGUAUUGUCUUUGCAAUUCUGCAUUCUGUAAAGAAUGUUUCAGAAAGAGAAAUGGAAAUUUUAGCCUGCUAGCAUAACAAUUAAGUCUUGGAGCAAAUAGUCUGUAAUUGAUUGAUUAAAAAAAAAAAAAAAAGACAACGUUUACGUGCGCACUUUUCUUUAGAACACCUCUGAAGUAGCUUUUUUAGCUUUUCUUUUAAAGUGUACACUACAAGCUGUAUACCUAAUAUUCUUUGCAACCUAAGGGUUUACUGAGGGUUCCUUAAAAAUCUGGUUUCAUAAAGGGAUAAAACCAGCAGAUGCUCAUGAAGCAGGGCCAGGGCUGCUAGCUCAACGCAGAGAAAAAACAGGACAUAGUUGUAAAAAUAGUACCUGGCUGCUACUGGUCCAAACAGCUCUUAACUUGAUUACAAAUCUCCCUAACUGAGCUCAAAUAUGAGUACAGAGGGUAGUGUUCAUGAAAACAUUUUUGCUUUCCUUGGACUAAAAUGUGUUCUAAGUGCCUGAAAGGAGGCAGCACCAGCUUGCUGUCGUUCUGGGGUCUUCUUCUGGCACGGAGCCCCCGUCCUGCCGCCGCUGCCUCCACCAGGAAGAGGAACAUGGCCACCACAAGCCCAUGUAGCCCCCACCAGCCUGCGACUGCUUGCAGCAACGCCCAGGUAAGGCAGGGCCGGGCCCUCCCCUCCUGCAGGCACCAAGUGACAACAGAGCAACGUGAGGAAACUCAAAACAGUGACUAAACUGGGGCAAGGGUAAAGCCUUUUCACUUUGUGUGACCAGUAAGCGCAAAUUUUUAUUGUUAUUUUAAACCAUUAAUUACGGUGUUUGUCCAAAGUUCUUCUUGAAGCACAUCACGUGCCUUACAGCUCUCAGCUGUGUCACUGUUUUGAUAUUUUCUUUAUGCACCAACUGGUCAAACUUAGCCUUUGAGAGACGCAUGCUAUUUUUGUCUUUGCACAUAAGAAGCUUUUUUCACAUGAGCAUUAUUGUGAGUUUAUAAAUUCUUUAUUGAAAAAUACACUUGCAAUAUUUUCAUACAAAGUAAUGUAAAUGGUACGAAGUAACAAGAAUUGUCUGACAACUUCAUAAAUAUUUUUACAGAAACAUCUAUACAACUGCUCGACUUCAGCCUUCGUUACACAGGUAAGAAUGAAAGAUGCUUCUAUUUUACCUUAAUUGAAUUUACAGUGAAAUUAAGUCCUAAACCUUCCCAUUAUUCGAAGGAGCAGGACUGAGUGAAAACAUCAAGCUUUUAAUUGUUUCAUUAUAAAAAUUUAUAGAACAAGUGUGUGCUAAAUUUUACGUUGAACAGCAACACUGUCCCCAGUUGUCAGUGAACAUGAGUAAAUCGCUAUAGUAUAGCGCGCCAGGUAUUAGGAAAGGACUUAAGCAUACCAACAAGGUUGGUAUUUUAGAAUUAUUUUAAAUGAAAGCAAUUAGUCGGUCUAAUUGAUACAUGCAGUGCUUGCUGAUCCUGUUAGUAGGGGAGGGAUUUCUCCCCCAGGCAGCCUGAUUUUUGUCCAUA